rnacentral:rRNA from 1 species
UACGUAGGUGGCAAGCGUUGUCCGGAUUUACUGGGCGUAAAGCGCGCGCAGGCGGGUUGGUCAGUCUGGGGUGAAAUCUCACGGCUCAACCGUGAGGGGUCCCUGGAUACUGCCAGCCUUGAGGGGCUCAGAGGAGAGUGGAAUUCCGGGUGUAGUGGUGGAAUGCGUAGAUAUCCGGAGGAACACCAGUGGCGAAAGCGGCUCUCUGGGACAACACUGACGCUGAGGCACGAAAGCGUGGGGAGCAAACAGG